rnacentral:misc_RNA from 1 species
AAGUCGUAACAAGGUAACCGUAGGUGAACCUGCGGUUGGAUCAUUAUUGAAAUCCAAAACAAUCUUGAGGCGUGGUUUUCUUGUAACAUUCUCACGAAUGCUACUUGAUCUCCCCACUCAACACCCCAAAACCUUUAAACGACAGGGAACGCAAGUUUCCUGUAUGUGAACUUUAUUGUUGAUAGAAACUCUUUGAAAUCAGAGUUUUCUCUACAGCGCUUGAUCGAUAUCUUGGUCUCAAGUCCAUUCACGUGGGCUUUUGGCCUCGGUGUCAAUCUUGCAAUGUGGGAAGAUAUACCAAAUUUGGUUUCUAUAGAUAUCUAUCAAUAUUACAACCUAGUUAAACAUCUGUUAUUUUGCCUUCUUUUUUACAAAACAAAAAAGAAAAACAACUUUUGACAAUGGAUCUCUAGGCUCUC